rnacentral:rRNA from 1 species
UACGGAGGGUGCAAGCGUUAUCCGGAUUCACUGGGCUUAAAGGGUGCGUAGGAGGGCAGGUAAGUCAGUGGUGAAAUCUUCGAGCUUAACUCGGAAACUGCCGUUGAUACUAUCUGUCUUGAAUACCGUGGAGAUGAGCGGAAUAUGUCAUGUAGCGGUGAAAUGCUUAGAUAUGACAUAGAACACCAAUUGCGAAGGCAGCUCGUUACACGAAUAUUGACUCUGAGGCACGAAAGCGUGGGGAUCAAACAGG